UAGGGAAUCUUCGGCAAUGGACGAAAGUCUGACCGAGCAACGCCGCGUGAGUGAAGAAGGUUUUCGGAUCGUAAAACUCUGUUGUUAGAGAAGAACAAGGACGUUAGUAACUGAACGUCCCCUGACGGUAUCUAACCAGAAAGCCACGGCUAACUACGUGCCAGCAGCCGCGGUUAUACGUAGGUGGCAAGCGUUGUCCGGAUUUAUUGGGCGUAAAGCGAGCGCAGGCGGUUUCUUAAGUCUGAUGUGAAAGCCCCCGGCUCAACCGGGGAGGGUCAUUGGAAACUGGGAGACUUGAGUGCAGAAUAGUAGAGUGGAAUUCCAUGUGUAGCGAUGAAAUGCGUAGAUAUAUGGGGGAACACCAGUGGCGAAGGCGGCUCUCUGGUCUGUAACUGACGCUGAGGCUCGAAGGCGUGGGGAGCAAACAGG
rnacentral:rRNA from 1 species